AUGCCUUACGAUGAGCGGUACACACCGUACACCAAGCAGGCAGGACUACUCCCGUGGAUUCUGUUGGUCAGCCGGUCCACGCCGAAUCUGAACGCUCCACUGGUAUCCGCUCUUGUUGAUCGGUGGAGGCCGGAGACGCACAGUUUCCAUCUUCGGACUGGGGAGAUGACCGUGACGCUCGAGGAUGUCUCGUUGAUCACCGGUCUUGCUAUCGACAGGAGGCCUCUCUGUAUGAGCACCGAUUCUGAUGGGUGGCGCGAGCAGAUGAUUGCUCUUAUCGGUAUGGCUCCUACCGAGGCUGAGGCUGAUGUAGAGGAGGGAGAAGAGAAGAAGAAGAGGGAAAGGAAAGCAGUCGGAGCUGCUUUCACGUGGAUUCAAAAUAACUUUGCGACAUGCCCUCCAGAUGCCACUGAUGAUGUGAUCCAGACACAUGCUCGUGUGUAUAUGUGGUACGUUGUGUCGAGGACUUUGUUUCCUGACUCCACUGGCAAGAACGCUCCAUGGGUGUGGCUG
rnacentral:rRNA from 1 species